rnacentral:rRNA from 1 species
ACGGCUCAGUAACACGUGGACAAUUUACCCUUGGGACCAGGAUAACCCCUGGGGAAACUGGGGCUAAUACUGGAUGGAGCAUCGGCUGCUGGAAUGCGCGAUGCUCGAAAGCUGAGGCGCCCAAGGGUAGGUCUGCGGCUGAUUAGGUUGUUGUUGAUGUAACGGAUCAACAAGCCCGCGAUCGGUACGGGUUGUGAGAGCAAUAGCCCGGAGAUGGGUUCUGAGAAAAGAACCCAGGUCCUACGGGACGCAUCAGGCGCGAAAACUUUACAAUGUGCGAAAGCGCGAUAAGGGAACUCUGAGUGCCUCCUAAGGAGGCUGUUCAGGUGUCUAAAAAGCAUCUGGAGUAAGGGCUGGGCAAGACCGGUGCCAGCCGCCGCGGUAACACCGGCAGCUCAAGUGGUAGCCAUGCUUAUUGGGUCUAAAGCGUCCGUAGCCGGCUGAGUAAGUUCCUUGGGAAAUUUGACCGCUUAACGGUUAAGCUAUCAGGGAAUACUGCUUGGCUUGGGACCGGGAGAGGUCAGAGGUACUCCAGGGGUAGGGGUGAAAUCUAUUAAUCC